CCCGCUACUUCGUCAGACAAGGGCGCGCCCUGUUCUCCGCUGAGACCUUUGCAGAGUUCGAGACCCGCCUGAUGCGUCCGAAAUUUGACCCUUACGUGACACGAGAGCUUCGACUUCAGAUCGUGCGCGACUUCAGCGUGGUGGGGGAGUGGGUCAAACCCACCGACGAUACUGGUUAUUCCCGCGAUCCUGAUGACGACAAGUUCAUCCCACCGGCCUGCACUUCCACGACAUCGAACAGUUGCUGAAA
rnacentral:rRNA from 1 species